UACAGAGGUCUCAAGCGUUGUUCGGAUUCAUUGGGCGUAAAGGGUGUGUAGGUGGCGCGUAAGUCGGGUGUGAAAUUCGAUGCUUAACUCCGAAACUGCAUUCGAUACUGCGGUGCUUGAGGACUGGAGAGGAGACUGGAAUUCAUGGUGUAGCAGUGAAAUGCGUAGAGAUCAUGAGGAAGACCAGUGGCGAAGGCGGGUCUCUGGACAGUUCCUGACACUGAGACACGAAGGCCAGGGGAGCAAACGGG
rnacentral:rRNA from 1 species